ACAAAAAAUUAGCCGGGCUUGGUGGCGGGCACUUGUAGUCCCAACUACUCGGGAGGCUGAGGCAGGACAAUGGCGUGAACCUAUGUAUACACCAUACUACUCAUACCAACACUACUCAGCCAUUAAAAGGAAAGAAAGACUGUCUUUUGCAGCAACUUGGUCGGAGACUUGGCAAGUUCAGGUGAUAAUGCAAGCAAUUCAGUACUUCGGCGGGAAAGAUGAGGCAAGAGGCUGAAGGAUCCUGAUAUUUAGUCUUACAGUUCAUGUUAAGAUAUUUGGGGUACAUGGAAUGAUGGGAUCAGGUAGAAGAAAGGGUAAGAUGGUGA
rnacentral:lncRNA from 1 species